rnacentral:rRNA from 1 species
UACGUAGGCAGCGAGCGUUGUUCGGGAGUUACUGGGCGUAAAGGGUGUGUAGGCGGUUUUCUAAGUUUGGUGUGAAAUCUCCCGGCUCAACCGGGAGGGUGCGCCGAAAACUGGGAGACUAGAGUGCGGGGAUGGGAGAGUAGAAUUCCUGGUGUAGCGGUGAAAUGCGUAGAUAUCAGGAGGAAUACCGGUGGUGUAGACGGCUCUCUGGACCGCCACUGACGCUGAGACACGAAAGCGUGGGUAGCAAACAGG